rnacentral:rRNA from 1 species
AUGGGAGCGGCCGCGGCGAUCUGCAGGGACAAAGACGGUCACUAUCUUGGCGCAUCAGCGGUCAGUAUUGAUGGCCUGGUGGAUGCAGCGAGCCUCGAAGCUCGUGCUUGCAGCGAGGCGCUUGCUCUGGCGAGAGACCUGAACGUCACACAUGCGAUGAUAGCUUCGGACUGCCUGCAAGUGGUGAAGGAUUUAAACGGAAGAACUUUUUCUUCUUACUCGCUGGUUCUAGAUGAAAUAAAGGAGUCGAUGAAUGACUUUGUAGAAAUUAGUUUUCGUUAUGAGUGUAGGGAAGCAAAUUUGGAAGCUCACGCCAUUGCUAAGGCGGCUUCAGCGUUUCCCUCGGGUCGCCGUCUGUGGCUAGGGACCUUGCCAGACAUUGCUUGUAUUGCUCCGGCUUUGAACUUUUGA